AUUGAACGCUGGCGGCAGGCCUAACACAUGCAAGUCGAGCGGAUGAUGGGAGCUUGCUCCUGGAUUCAGCGGCGGACGGGUGAGUAAUGCCUAGGAAUCUGCCUAGUAGUGGGGGACAACGUUUCGAAAGGAACGCUAAUACCGCAUACGUCCUACGGGAGAAAGCAGGGGACCUUCGGGCCUUGCGCUAUCAGAUGAGCCUAGGUCGGAUUAGCUUGUUGGUGAGGUAAGGGGUCACCAAGGCUACGAUCCGUAACUGGUCUGAGAGGAUGAUCAGUCACACUGGAACUGAGACACGGUCCAGACUCCUACGGGAGGCAGCAGUGGGGAAUAUUGGACAAUGGGCGAAAGCCUGAUCCAGCCAUGCCGCGUGUGUGAAGAAGGUCUUCGGAUUGUAAAGCACUUUAAGUUGGGAGGAAGGGUUGUAGAUUAAUACUCUGCAAUUUUGACGUUACCGACAGAAUAAGCACCGGCUAACUCUGUGCCAGCAGCCGCCGUAA
rnacentral:rRNA from 1 species